rnacentral:rRNA from 1 species
UACAGAGGGUGCGAGCGUUGUCCGGAAUCACUGGGCGUAAAGGGCGCGUAGGUGGCGGCCCAAGUCCAUGGUGAAAGCUCGAUGCUCAACAUCGAGUCGGCCACGGAUACUGGGUUGCUCGAGCACUGUAGGGGCAGAUGGAAUUCCGGGUGUAGCGGUGGAAUGCGUAGAGAGUCCGGAAGAACACCGGUGGCGAAGGCGGUCUGCUGGGCGAGUUGCUGGACACUGGAGGCGCGACAGCGUGGGGAGCAAACAGGG